UAACUCUAAAUCAAGUGUAAGGAAAACAGAAACCAGUGUUCGAGAAUAAACGAUUGUUGCUUCAAGACUCCGAGAGUCAUGAGAGGAAUGUCAAUGAUGAGGCUUUGUAGAAGGCACAUGUCAUUACUUCUUGAGGCACAGAAUCUACCCAGAUCAUGUAGAAGGGUUCACGGCAAAGGAUCUCAAACUCCAAUUGAAGCAGCUUCGCAACAGUCCGAGCCGUUUCUCAACCAGCCCCAAGCUGUAGCUGCGGUAGAGGUCACUCCCAGAGGGACAGGUGCUUCGAAGAUCGAUAGUACAGAGACACAAGAAGUUUCUGAAAGCACAGAAGGCUCCAACAUACUGCGUCCGGUGGCUUACAAUGUAUGGCACGUGGACCCCUCCACAGUCAAAGAGAUCUACUUCUUCAACACAAUGGAGCUUGUCAAGAAGCUGGAAGAGAAGGGAUUUACUCGUGAACAGUCUGAAGCGGUGGCGAGUUGUCUGGUAGAGAUUGUGAACACGACCAUCCAGCACCAAUCUAACCACAUGAUCAGCAAGUCGGAGCAGGAGAUCCGGGUCCAGAAGCUCAUGGCAGAGAUCUCCUCGGUGAAGAAGGACAUGGUCAUGUUGCAGAAGAGUGAGUUCUCCACGCUACGCAACCAGACAGAGAAACAGUCAUUUGAAAUCCGUCAAAUCAAAGACUCCUUGCGGGAUGAGAUUGCAAAGUUGAAAGGUCAGAUGACCCUCGACAUGAACUUGGAGCGGAGCCGAUCAGUGGAGGCACAUGCAGAAAAUCAAAAGAAUCUGACCAAACUUCACCAGAAGAUAGAGACACAGGUUGCACAUCUUCUGACCAAGUACGAAAUAUACAGGAACGAUGUGUUCAAGUUUGCUGGAGGUACGGUGCUGACAUGUGCAGGAUUGUGUCUGGGAAUAAUACGACUCUGGAGCUGACGACAACAUGCUAUACGCGACAUCAGUUCAACUACAGCAGCAGCAGCAUCGUCACUCAGGAUAAGACCUACUCAUUAUAAGUGUUUUGUGUUUGGAGUUUGUGUUUCACUUUCCCUUUGUAGAACGUCAGAAAGUGUUUUGUAAUAGUUAUCUGCCAUUCACGUAAUUUACGUCGAAUGUGCAUCAGUAGUGAAACACUGUUGAUCAGAGAGAAAUGUCCCUGUGAAGUUGUUGGAUUUAGGAAUUAUGGGUCCAAAGUAAAGUGAGUGGGUCUGUUUUUACACCACUUUUAGCAAUAUUCCAUCAAUAUCAAGUGGGUGAGUUUAGUUUUACGCCGCA
rnacentral:misc_RNA from 1 species